AAAGAGUCUUCAUGAGGGAUUGUCCAGGUCAGGUUGGCCUGUGGGUAUGUCUGCAGGAGGUUGUACUAAUUGCCUUAAUUGACUAGAGAAGACCCAACAUGAAAGUGAAUAGCAUUAGUCCCUGGUUUGGGGCCCUCAACUCUAUAAAAAUGGAGAAAGCUGGCUGGAUACCAGAUUAGUUCCUUCAAGAGAUGAUGUUCUAGAAGUGGAUGGAAGGCUCUUCUCUAACAAAAGUCCAACAGCAAAAGUGGAAGACAUCAACGUUCUUCAGUCCACGUUCCUACCCUGAACCACCAAUGAAGCAUGAUGUCUUUAUCCCUAUGAGGGAAGAAACUGGACAUGUGGCAACUAUAGUGAACAUCUCAAAACAUUAUCUCCACCAGCCGUACCAGAUUCUGCAUCUGAGAUCAAAUGAAGCUGGGAAGACCUUGACUCCAUUCCUCUUGCAGUGCCUUUGACAGCUGGUUCCUGUAGCAAUACUUCAAGAGCUGCACAACUUUCAACUUUCUCCUUCAAGAUAAUCUCUUUCAACUCAAGCAGGUCUUCCUCAGCUCUACUCUACUGCCAUGCUGUCUACCAUGGCAGCCACUUAGGGCCAGCAGCUAGAAUGGGACAGAACAUGUCUAUGUGGUCAGCUUUCUUCUCCAAAGCUUCUGAUGGAAGACUUUUCUCCUUAGGAUUGAGCACCAUUUAAUACACAGCAUGUUUAGCUCAUGGAGAUUCCUUCUGUCUCUGUCUCUCCCUCUGCCCCCCGCUCUGUCUCCCCUUCCUCUUUACCCUUCUUCCCUCCAUCCCUUCCUCAUUUGCACACAGUGAAAAGCCUGCCUUCCCCCAUUACAUCACAGAUCUAACAUCCUAGGAAUAGCUACCUAUCACCCAGCCGCUCUCUUCACCAGCCGCGCUGGGCUCCUUCUAACACCCCACCGAGGCUCUGCUCCAGACCCUUAGACUGUCAUGUCUUCUGCUCAAAAUCCACUCCCUCCCUCACCUCCUUCACAUCUUUUUCUAAAUGACCCAUCUGCUCUAUAUAAACAGAACUGACUCUCACAACGCUGUCUCACCAGGUGACUUGCUUUUCUCCUUAGGACUGUGGCACCAUUUACUAUCCCACACAUUUUAACUUGUCCAUUUCACUCACUGUCUAUUUCUUGCCCUUAAAGGCAGGAUUUUUGUCUGGACUAGUUAUCUGUUUCAGAAUCUCUAUAUCCUCAAGUUGCGAAUAUCAUCACU